UAUUAAUGACAUGGAUGAAUGAGUAUUGACACAUUAAAAGCAAGAAAUAAUGAGUUAAAGAAGAAAAAAAGAAAUGAGUGUUUUUAGUAGCAGUAUAUAAUUAUUAUUUUUGUUUGUUUGCAGAAGUGUAAAAAAAUAGACUAUAGAGCACAAUAGUGAGACAAUGGAGUGCAACAGUGAGUCAGUGUCCAAAGAGUGUCAAUGGAGUGCACAGGGCCUCAGUGUCCAAAGAGUGUCAAUGGAGUGCACAGUGCCUCAGUGUCCAAAGAGUGUCAAUGGAGUGCACAGGGCCUCAGUGUCCAAAGAGUGUCAAUGGAGUGCACAGGGCCUCAGUGUCCAAAGAGUGUCAAUGGAGUGCACAGUGCCUCAGUGUCCAAAGAGUGUCAAUGGAGAAAAUAAGCCAAAGGAGAACUAAGCCAACUAAAUGUAAUAGUGAACCAGUAGUGUGUAAUAGUGAACCAGUAGUGUGUAAUAGUGAACCAGUUUAGUGUAAUUGUGAACCAGUAGUGUGUAAUAGCAAGCCAGUAGUGUGUAGUAACAAACCAUAUGAGUAUAAAAGUGAACCAGAGAAUGUAAAAGUAGACUGAUAUAAUGUAAUAGUGAACCAGAGAAUGUAAAAGUAAAUUGAUAGAAUGUAAUAAUGAAGCAGAGAAUGUAAAAGUAAACUGAUAGAAUGUAAAUGUAAACUGAUAAAAUGUAAUAGUGAGCCUAGCUUUUAAUUGAUCUUGAAUUUUUUUUUCCUUAACAAGCUUUAAAUACCAACUGAAGAAUUUUUUUUUUCAAAAUUGAGAUAGCGAUUGAUUUAGAUAGUAGAUAGCAUCAAAGUUAGUUCCUAAAAUUUUGAGAUUUUAGAAAAGCGUAUUUAUAAUAGAAAAAGUAAUUUAAAAGUGUAAAAAAUAACGAGAUUUGAAAAUCAGCUUCAAUGGCCAAAAGCGGAAGUGACGUCUUGUAAUGGACUGAGAAAAUAAAACAUAUGACAUGUGGCAUACAGACAAGUUUACUAGAUGGAUCUUUCAUCAUUUUGGGAAUACAAGAAGAGUUAAUAUUCCCUGUUUCUAUUGUGAAACAAAUCACAGAAACAUUCUACAAUUGUAUUUUAUAUAUAAUAAAUACCAAUAAAUGUAAAUACAAAAUCA
rnacentral:sRNA from 1 species